rnacentral:rRNA from 1 species
AUUGAACGCUGGCGGCAGGCCUAACACAUGCAAGUCGAACGAGUGGCGGCCGGGAGAGUAGUGUCUGGGAAUCUGCCCGAUGGAGGCUGACAUCUACUGGAAACUGUAGCUAAUACACCAUUUCCUCGGGUGUGUACAGGUGGGAUUAGCUAGUAGGUGGGGUAACGGCUCACCUAGGCGACGAUCCCUAGCUGGUCUGAGAGGAUGACCAGCCACACUGGAACUGAGACACGGUCCAGACUCCUACGGGAGGCAGCAGUGGGGAAUAUUGCACAAUGGGCGCAAGCCUGAUGCAGCCAUGCCGCGUGUAUGAAGAAGGCCUUAGGGUUGUAAAGUACUUUCAGCGAGGAGGCGUUACUCGCAGAAGAAGCACCGGCUAACUCCGUGCCAGCAGCCGCGGUAAUAC